GUGAUACUCCCUCCAUCCUAAAAUUCUUGUUUUAGAUUUGUCUAAAUACGGAUGUAUCAAGUCAUGUUUUAGCAUUAUAUACAUUCAUAUCUAGACGAAUUUAAGACAAAAAUUUUGGGACGGAGACAGUACGUU
rfam:Triticum urartu cultivar G1812 contig767378, whole genome shotgun sequence.